rnacentral:hammerhead_ribozyme from 1 species
AUCUAGCUGGCGAGUCCCAAAUAGGACGAAACAUGCAUCCUGGGU